rnacentral:rRNA from 1 species
AUUGAACGCUGGCGGCAGGCCUAACACAUGCAAGUCGAACGGAGUGGCGGACGGGUGAGUAAUGUCUUGGAAUCUGCCUGGUAGUGGGGUAUAACGUCCGGAAACGUGCGCUAAUACCGCAUACUAUCAGAUUAUCCUAGGUCGGAUUAUCUCGUUGGUGGGGUAAAGGCCUACCAAGGCGACGAUCCGGAACUGGUCUGAGAGGAUGAUCAGGAACACUGGAACUGAGACACGGUCCAGACUCCUACGGGAGGCAGCAGUGGGGAAUAUUGGAAAAUGGGCGAAAGCCUGAUCCAGCAAUGCCGCGGGUGUGAAGAAGGUUUUGGGAUUGUAAAGCACUUUAAGUUGGGAGGCGUUACCAACAGAAUAAGCACCGGCUAACUUCGUGCCAGCAGCCGCGGUAAUUC